rnacentral:rRNA from 1 species
GACGAACGCUGGCGGCGCGCCUAACACAUGCAAGUCGAACGGAGAUACGAUUUCGGUUGUAUCUUAGUGGCGAACGGGUGAGUAACGCGUGAGCAACCUGUCUCUUAGAGGGGGAUAACACUCGGAAACGGGUGCUAAUACCGCAUAAGACCACACCGUGGCAUCGCGGAGAGGUCAAAGGAGCAAUCCGCUGAGAGAGGGGCUCGCGUCCCAUUAGAUAGAUGGCGGGGUAACGGCCCACCAUGUCGACGAUGGGUAGCCGAGCUGAGAGGCUGAUCGGCCACACUGGAACUGAGACACGGUCCAGACUCCUACGGGAGGCAGCAGUGGGGAAUAUUGGGCAAUGGGCGCAAGCCUGACCCAGCAACGCCGCGUGAGGGAAGAAGGCUUUCGGGUUGUAAACCUCUGUCCUUGGUGACGAAGAAAGUGACGGUAGCCAAGGAGGAAGCCCCGGCUAACUACGUGCCAGCCGCCGCGGUAA